CCUACGAGGUGCAGCAGUGAGGAAUAUUGGUCAAUGGGCGCGAGCCUGAACCAGCCAAGCCGCGUGAAGGAUGACUGCCCUACGGGUUGUAAACUUCUUUUAUAAAGGAAUAAAGUGAGACACGUGUGCCUUUCUGUAUGUAUCUUACGAAUAAGGAUCGGCUAACUCCGUGCCAGCAGCCGCGGUAAUACGGAGGAUCCGAGCGUUAUCCGGAUUUAUUGGGUUUAACGGGUGCGUAGGUGGGCGGGUAAGUAAGAGGUGAAAGUUUGCGGCUCAACCGUGGAAUUGCAAGUGAUACUGGCAGGCUAGAGGGCAGUAGAGGUAGGCGGAAGGCGUGGUGUAGCGGUGAAAUGCGUAGCGAUCACGAAGAACACCGAUUGCGAAGGAAGCCUACUAACCUGCAACUGACGUUGAUGCACGAACGUGUGGGGAUCAAACAGGAUUAGAUACCCGGGUAGUC
rnacentral:rRNA from 1 species